rnacentral:rRNA from 1 species
AUUGAACGCUGGCGGCAGGCCUAACACAUGCAAGUCGAGCGGAUGAAGGGAGCUUGCGCCUGGAUUCAGCGGCGGACGGGUGAGUAAUGCCUAGGAAUCUGCCUGGUAGUGGGGGAUAACGUCCGGAAACGGGCGCUAAUACCGCAUACGUCCUGAGGGAGAAAGUGGGGGAUCUUCGGACCUCACGCUAUCAGAUGAGCCUAGGUCGGAUUAGCUAGUUGGUGGGGUAAAGGCCUACCAAGGCGACGAUCCGUAACUGGUCUGAGAGGAUGAUCAGUCACACUGGAACUGAGACACGGUCCAGACUCCUACGGGAGGCAGCAGUGGGGAAUAUUGGACGAUGGGCGAAAGCCUGAUCCAGCCAUGCCGCGUGUGUGAAGAAGGUCUUCGGAUUGUAAAGCACUUUAAGUUGGGAGGAAGGGCAGUAAGUUAAUACCUUGCUGUUUUGACGUUACCAACAGAAUAAGCACCGGCUAACUUCGUG